rnacentral:rRNA from 1 species
GUGCCAGCAGCCGCGGUAAUACGUAGGUGGCAAGCGUUAUCCGGAAUUACUGGGCGUAAAGCGCACGCAGGUGGCUGCUUAAGUCUGACGUGAAAGCUCCUGGCUUAACUGGGAGAGGUCGUUGGAGACUGGGCGGCUUGAGGCGAGGAGAGGGGUGUAGAAUUCCCGGUGUAGUGGUGGAAUGCGUAGAGAUCGGGAGGAAUACCAGUGGCGAAAGCGGCACCCUGGCCUUGGCCUGACGCUCAGGUGCGAAAGCGUGGGGAGCGAACGGGAUUAGAUACCCCCGUAGUCC